rnacentral:tmRNA from 1 species
AGUGCCUCGCUUGCGGGGAUAUGGCGAUAAACGCGCAUGUAAUAAGCGGUUCGGACCCGGGGGCGGUACCCGGCGACUCCACCAAUCACCCUGUCAUUUGCAGGGCGGACGGGGUCGAAACAGUAUCGACGGACGUCUAAAGAUGUAGCCUUCGCUCGGUGAGAUACCACCGUUAUCGGUUCGCAAAGUAUAGUUGCAAAUGACAACCAUGCUCCGGUCGCAGUCGCCGCGUAAGCGGUGCCUAAGAUCGAAACUUAAGUCCUUGCGCCUAGCCGCGUAAGGCGGGGUUCGCAGGCACCUGGCAACAGAAGCCUG